AGAGUUUGAUCAUGGCUCAGGAUGAACGCUAGCUACAGGCUUAACACAUGCAAGUCGAGGGGAAACGACAUCGAAAGCUUGCUUUUGAUGGGCGUCGACCGGCGCACGGGUGAGUAACGCGUAUCCAACCUGCCCACCACUUGGGGAUAACCUUGCGAAAGUAAGACUAAUACCCAAUGAUAUCUCUAGAAGACAUCUGAAAGAGAUUAAAGAUUUAUCGGUGAUGGAUGGGGAUGCGUCUGAUUAGCUUGGUUGGCGGGGUAACGGCCCGACCAAGGCUACGAUCGAGUAGGGGUUCUGAGAGGAAGGUCCCCCANAUUGGAACUGAGACACGGUCCAAACUCCUACGGGAAGCA
rnacentral:rRNA from 1 species